rnacentral:rRNA from 1 species
AUUGAACGCUGGCGGCAGGCCUAACACAUGCAAGUCGAACGAGUGGCGGACGGGUGUGUAAUGUCUGGGAAACUGCCCGAUGGAGGGGGAUAACUACUGGAAACAGUAGCUAAUACCGCAUACCAUCGGAUGUCUCCAGAUGGGCUUAGCUAGUAGGUGGGGUAACGGCUCAACUAGGCGACGAUCCCUAGCUGGUCUGAGAGGAUGACCAAGCGGACGGGAACGUAGACACGGUCCAAAGUCCUACGGGAUGCAGCGAAGGGGAAUAAUGGACAAUGGGCGAAAGCCCGAUGAAGCCAUGCCGCUUGUAUGAAGAAGGCCGUCGGGUUGUAAAGUACUUUCCGCGAGGAAGCGUUACUCGCAGAAGAAGCACCGGCUAACUCCGUGCCAGCAGCCGCGGUAAUUC